rnacentral:sRNA from 1 species
GUGCAUUUGAAGUUACAACCAUACCGACAGCGGACUGUGGUUCGCCGUCCUUGUUACAAGUUG